UUCCUUAUAUCAUGUAUUUAUUGGGUUUUCCAUCUAAUUGUUUGAGAAACCAUGAAUGUCCCUCUUCUUCUUACCCUAACUCUUGAAUUGUGUUGAUUAAUGACUAGAUGUGAUGUAAUUGGGUAUGUUCUUGUAUAAAUCACUACCCUAUGAUUAUGAUUGUUGAUUUGAUGGAUACAUAUCAUUAAUUUGGGAUUAAAUCUUGAAUGGGUUUCAUGGAGGCCAUUGAAAAUGUAGGUUCGAGCGAUUGAGGUACUUCAACGCCAUUCUAAAAGAAGCUUGGAUUUUUCCCAAGUUGGUGAGUCCCCAAGUCCGAGGAUGAAUCCUAUAAAUCUAUCUUUUUAUUAUUUUGCUACGUUUAAAGACAUUGUUCUAUUUCCUAGUUUCAACGACUAUGUUGUAUUCUCUUAUAAGAUUUGUAAUGAUGUAAGGGCUAAGUCUCAUUUCACUUA